AUUCCAGCUCCAAUAGCGUAUAUUAAAGUUGUUGCAGUUAAAAAGCUCGUAGUUGGAUUUGUGGCGGCAGAUGUGGUCCAACUCGUUUUGGUAUUGCAUGUUGUUGCCAUCUUUGGAUGGAACCUGUGGGGCAUUAGGUUGUUCUGCAGGGGAUAUCUAUCGUUUACUGUGAAAAAAUUAGAGUGUUCAAAGCAGGCUUACGCCAAUGAAUAUACUAGCAUGGAAUAAUGAAAUAGGACUUUGGUACUAUUUUGUUGGUUUGCGCACCAAAGUAAUGAUUAAUAGGGACAGUUGGGGGUAUUCGUAUUCCAUUGUCAGAGGUGAAAUUCUUGGAUUUUUGGAAGACGAACUACUGCGAAAGCAUUUACCAAGGAUGUU
rnacentral:rRNA from 1 species